rnacentral:misc_RNA from 1 species
UCUCCGUAGGUGAACCUGCGGAAGGAUCAUUAGAGAAAUUUAUGGGAAGUUGAGCUGGCCCGAAAGGGUAUGUGCUCGCUUUCUAAAUUAUCUUAUCCAUACACCUGUGCACCUUUGGGGAGAAAAUGCUAUCUGAUAGUAAUUUCUCCUCGUUUUUACACAAACUCUUAUAAUAACAUUGAACGUGAUCUAGUGCCGCAAGGCCUUAAUCAAAUAUACAACUUUUAACAACGGAUCUCUUGGCUCUCGCAUCGAUGAAGAACGCAGC